rnacentral:rRNA from 1 species
GGUGAGAGCGUGCCUUUUGUAGAAUGAACCGGCGAGUUACGUUAUGAUGCGAGGUUAAGUUGAAGAGACGGAGCCGUAGGGAAACCGAGUCUGAAUAGGGCGCCUUAGUAUCAUGACGUAGACCCGAAACCAUGUGACCUACCCAUGAGCAGGUUGAAGGUGCGGUAAGACGCACUGGAGGACCGAACCAGGGCACGUUGAAAAGUGCUUGGAUGACUUGUGGGUAGCGGAGAAAUUCCAAACGAACUUGGAGAUAGCUGGUUCUCUCCGAAAUAGCUUUAGGGCUAGCGUCGACAUUAGAGAUUCUUGGAGGUAGAGCACUGUUUGGGUGAGGGGUCCAUCCCGGAUUACCAAUCUCAGAUAAACUCCGAAUGCCAAUGAAUUAUGGUCGGCAGUCAGACUGCGAGUGCUAAGAUCCGUAGUCGAAAGGGAAACAGCCCAGACCACCAGCUAAGGUCCCAAAAUAAUUGUUAAGUGGAAAAGGAUGUGGGGUUGCACAGACAACUAGGAUGUUAGCUUAGAAGCAGCUAUUCAUUCAAAGAGUGCGUAAUAGCUCACUAGUCGAGUGACCCUGCGCCGAAAAUGUACCGGGGCUAAAACAAUUUACCGAAGCUGUGGAUACCUUUAUAGGUAUGGUAGGAGAGCGUUCUAUGUGUGAUGAAGGUAUACCGUGAGGAGUGCUGGAA